AGAUGCCAACUUGAUCAAAAAGCAUUCCCACAUCUAUGCUUGUGAAAGGAAUGACUGAAAGUUCUCUAUUCCAUACAAGACCCAUUCCCCACCCCAUAAGAUUAUAACCAGCUCUUCAAGUGCAUAAGUCAGAGCUCACUGGUCUUGAGAAUGAGUGUUCCUAGCUUUGGAGUUACCCCCUGGAUAAUGUUGAGUUAAAGAGCUGGACAUUAGCUAUUCAGCAGGAGAAAAAUUCCUUGACAGUUUGCUUCUGGGAAGAAGAAGAGGACUUCCAAGAAAAGGAUCUUGUGGCUGGAGGACUGAGUUCAUGCCACAAAGGACAAGGAGAGCUAGGUCUUUCUAGUCCUCCUUGAUAUUACUGUGAGUUACUUGGACAGUGCAAGUUUGAGGCAAAAGGGGAAUGUUUGUUCAAAAUAAAAUGGUUUUACCUUCUUGAGGGGGGGAGGGUCAUGAGUGAAAUGAGUUUUUUUAUUAUUUUAUUUGUUCUGUAUUUGAUUGUGGGUGCCUGUAAGUCCUCUACAUUUUAUGCAGUUUCUGAGGUAGAAGAAAUAAAAAGUUAUCCCAUAUUCAUAUAAUAUAUUGACUACCUUUGUAAGAAAGGAUCCUGUUAUACAUAUAUGGGAAACCAGUAAAUACAAGCCAUAAUCAAGCUUCAUUUUAAAGAUGGAGGCAGAAUGGGGAUGCAUAGGACUGAGGAUGAAACAGAAAUUUUGUGUUUCAUGAGUUUUUGCUGCCAUCAAAAUUGCUCUAUACUUAUUCAUGUUAAGUGUAAUCUUAUUUGAUUGGGCAUAUGAGACUAGCCUGUCAACAUCCUUUUGAAUCCUGAUUUUAUCCCAUGGUAUUGGCUAUCCCAGCCAACUUUAUCCACAAAUUUGACAAACAUAUAAUCUAUGCCUGUUCUGAGCUAUUGAUAAAGUAUGGAAUAGGCCUGAGUAGAUCACUGAAUUCUUUCUAGCAAUAGUACUUCAGUUAUCUUGAGAUUAAUGUAUUAUUAUUAUUAUUUGAAAGCAAGGGUAAAGGUAGGAUCAAGAAUGCUUUGUGAAGGGGAAGACUCACAGGAUCCAGAGUUUAGGGUGUCUAUCAGGCAAAGGGAUGUAGUGACAGCUCACAACACAGGAAAGCACCUCAAAGUAGAUACCUGAACUGACUGAUGAAAAGUGAUGGGGUUACAGGUUACCUCCUAUGGCAUCACACUUACCAAGAGUUAACCUUUAUAAAGUAUUUUAUAGAUGACCUAGCACAAUUCAAAACAAAAAUAAAUUAAUAAAAGCUUCAUAAUAAAGUCCAGAAAAAUCAAUUACCAUAUUGCUCAUCUUAAAAAAUGUUUCAUUCUGCAUUUUAAGUCCAUCACUUUUCUGGCAGGAUAAAUCUUCUAUUUUUCAUCUUUAGUCCUCUGGACUCAUGCUUGCAUUGCUCAGAGUUCUAAAAUAUUUCAAAGCUGUUUUUUCUCUAUUAUGAUGUUUUCAUUGUACACAGUGUCCUCCUAGUUCUUAUUUUGCUAUACAUCAGUUCAUAAAAGUCUUCCAAGUUUCCUUUGAAAUUGUCCAUUUUAUCACUUCUUAUGGCACAUAAUAUUCCAUUACAUUCAUAUACUAUGAUUUAUUUUUCAUUCUCCAAAAAGAGAGAACUCCUUUAUUUUCCACUUUUUGGCUACUAGGAAAAGAACAGCUAUAUUUUUGUACAUAUAGGUCCUUUCCUUCUUUCUUUGAAUUCUUUGGGAUAUGGAUCUAAUAGUCAUACAGCUAAAUCAAAGGAUAUGCAUAUUUUAGUAACUUUAGGGGUCAUAAUUUCAGAUUGCCUUCCAGAAUGGAUGGACCAAUUCACUGUGAGUGAAUUGUGGGUGAAAACUAGUGGGUUUUCACAUAGCCCCUUUAAUAUUUGUCAUUUCCCUCUUUUGUCACCUUUGCCAAUUUGAUGUAUAUGGAGUAGAACCACAAGCAUUUCUUUAAUUUAUAUUUCUCUACCUAGAGCUCUUAAAACAAAAACAUGUGGUUAUUGGUUGCUUGUAUUACUUCAUUUGAAGACUUCUGUUCAUAUCUUUUGAUUGCCUAUCUACUCAAGAAUGACUCAUCACAGUGUCUCACACAUAGUAGGCACUUAAUAAAUGCUAAUUAUAGUCAACUAUAUCUUGGAUAUCAGACCUGAAAAAGAGAACUUAGGGCAAAUGCCCCCUCCAUGUAGUCUGUUACCUAUUUCCCUUCUAAUCUUGACUGCACUGAUUUGUUUGUGGAAAAAAAUAAUUUUGUAUAAUUAGAAUUAUCCUUUUUUUAUUCUAUGAUACUCUCAGUCAUUUGUGUAGUCAUGGAACUCUUCCCCACCCAUGGAGUAAAAGAUAUUUCCUCCUGGCCUCUCUAAUUUGCUUCAGAUGUGAUCACUUAUGUUUAAGUUACAUAUCCAUUUGGAACUUAACUUGAUUUUUUACUCUAAUUUCUGUGAAAUUUCUUUCCAGCUUUCCAGCAAUUUUUGUCAAAUACUAUUUCCUCCAGUAACUAGAAUCUUUUGGUUUAUCAGGCACAAUGCUAUUGCAUUCAUUUACUUUUAUAUGUUGUGUAAUAAUGUCUCCCACAUCAUUUUGAUGACUAUUGUUUUGUAACAGCUUGAGAUCCUGCACUGAUAGAUUGCUUCCCUCACCCCUCUUUCCCCCAAUAACUGCCCUUGAGAUUAAUGACCUUUUGAACCUCCAUAUGAAUUCUGUUACUAUUCUUCUAGUUCUAUAAUAAAUACUCUGGUCAUUUGAUUGGUCAUAGCACCUACAGAAUGUCACACAUCUACACCUAAAAAUUUUCAAAGAUACUAACCAUAUUGUGAGAAUCUUGAAGUAAGAAAGUACAAGUAAGAAAGAAGCUUGUAAGAAAGUAUAAAGUUAUAAUGAUUCUCUCCACCACAGAUGUCCUUCCUUGUGCAAGUGUCUUGUAUCCUCAAAAGCAUCAACUCAGUGAGAAAAUAAAUCAAACUGCCUCACAGUA